GGAGGUGCAAGAUCUUUGUAAUGAAUUUAGAAGAGUGCGAUUCUCCCCCUGGUCUUCUAGUAGAGGCGGCUUUCCACAACCAAAAAGCGAAUCUUCGUAAAGAAAGACAGGAUCGAUGGAAUGAAUAGAAGAGCCGAGAUAAGGCUUCUGCUAGGGGAUAGGAGGCUCUCUUUCGAUAGACAAGAUUCCUCAACUGAAGAUGAACUUCCUGCAAUGCUAAGACUCAAAGCCAAUCAAUCUCUUUUUCAGUCUAAGUUCUUGCUAGAGUGGGUUGCUAUCUGCUCCAUCCCCCUUCCUUGGUGAUCG
rnacentral:misc_RNA from 1 species